rnacentral:rRNA from 1 species
UAGUCCACGCCGUAAACGAUGAUUACUCGCUGUAGGCGAUACACAGUCUGUGGCUAAGCGAAAGUUUUAAGUAAUCCACCUGGGGAGUACGAUCGCAAGAUUGAAACUCAAAGGAAUUGACGGGGGCCCGCACAAGCGGAGGAACAUGUGGUUUAAUUCGAUGAUACGCGAGGAACCUUACCUGGACUUAAAUGUGCGUUGCAUAGAUCAGAGAUGGUCUUUUCUUCGGACUACGUACAAGGUGCUGCAUGGUUGUCGUCAGCUCGUGCCGUGAGGUGUCGGGUUAAGUCCCAUAACGAGCGCAACCCUUAUCCUUAGUUGCCAGCGGGUAGAGCCGGGGACUCUGAGGAGACUGCCACCGUAAGGUGUGAGGAAGGUGGGGGAUGGACGUCAAGUCUGUAUGGCCCUUAUGCCCAGGGGCUGCACACGUACUACAAUGCUCAGGACAAUAGGAACCGAGACCGUGAGGUGGAGGAAAUCACUAAAACCUGAA